rnacentral:tRNA from 2 species
GGGCCGGUAGCUCAGCAGGUUAGAGCACGAGCCUCUUAAGCUUGGUGUCGUGGGUUCGAGUCCCACCCGGCUCACCA